rnacentral:misc_RNA from 1 species
CCUCCUUAUAACGAAGUUACACUUACAGAGUGUUCACACAAAUAAUUAAUUACGAAGUUUUAAGAGAGCUCUAGCCCAUGCGCACAGUAUGUGCUCAUCAGUUAGGGUUUUUAACCCGGACGUGUAAACGUCAUGCUCUUUAACAAUUUGGAAAGCUGAUAAAAUAAGGUAAACAUUAUUGUUUAUUUAAUUUGUUAUUCAACAAUUUAAAAAAUAAUUUUGAUUAUCACUGUAAGAGAAAACUCAAGCGUUAUUUAUGUCAAAACGAACAUGCCUAUACAACAUGUCUCGUUAAUAAAUAUGACACAAGAUGAUGCAAUCGAGAAUGUGAGAACAUUUAAGGUUGUAUGGUUAAGUGAAUAAGCGUAUACGGUGGAUGCC